rnacentral:rRNA from 1 species
AUGGAGACCGACAGUCUGGAGAUUGUGAAUCUCUGGAACACUCGACACAACAGCCGCUCUGUUGUGGCACCAGUUUUCUUUGAAAUUGAUGAGCUAGCGGAUAGUUUCCACUCUUUUGUAAUCCAACAUGCUAGUAGAUCCGCAAACGGUCCAGCACACAUGUGUGCUCAGCGUGCAUGUAACGUGUCUGUAACCGAGAGUUGGCUCUCUUAGACUCCAAGUUUCCUGGUAAGUAGCCUAAUGGCUGACUGCCCGGCAAACACAUUUGUUUGA